GGGUUAGUUGGAUGAUGAUGGCUGAUGAUAAGGCAACCUAACUUUUGCAUUCAGGGUCGUGGCUGUGCUAAAGCCUGUCCCAGCUGCCAUAGGACGAGAGGUGGGGUUAACUCUGGAAAGGCAGCCAGACUGUCCCAGGACCAACACAGGGAGACGGACAACAAUUCAUACUCACAUUCAUACCUAAGGUUUUCGCAUUACCAAUUAACCUAAUUCCAUCCAUGUUUUUGGACUCCAGGAGGAAGCCAGAAUACCUGGAGAAAACCCAUACAGAUACUGGAAGAACAUAUAAACUCCGCACAGAAAGGCUGCACCCAGAUGGUGGAUUUGAACCCAGGGCGUUCUUGCUGUGAGGCAGCAGUGCUAACCAGUGAAGCAAAAUCCCCUUGGUUCUGAAGUGGAUUUGCGAAGACUUUUACCAGGGAGCACUGACUUGAUUUCCUACUUUUGUGGAGUAACUAAAAACACAGUAGACCCAAAAAGAUCUUGACCAGAGAUCACUGAUAACAAAGCCAUGAUACCCCACUUGAUUCUGAGUAACUGAGAAGCAUUGUCCCUUGCUUCCUGGAAGAUCUCUACCAGGAAGCAAGGGAGUCCUGGUAACUAAGACUAUUUCUCCCACCUAUUCACAGGAAGAAACAACACAUCUUUGCCUGAGGAUCUCAGACUGCACAUAAGUUUUUGGGCCAACCCCCCCUCCCCCAAAAAAGCUACUUUUGUCUAUGCCCUUGUCACAAGAGGUCACCACAGCUCUGCAUCUUUAAUUUGGCAGAGUUUUAUGUUGGAUUCCCUUGCUGAAACAACCCCAAAGGGGAUUUGUGUCUCAAUACAGUAAAAUCUCAAGCACGGCUAUCAAGAGAAUUAGAAAAAAAUCUUCAAAAUUGAAAAACCAACUGGUAAGCAUAGUAGUCAGGGUAAAAAAAAAAGAAGUUUUUCAGGCAGUCAAAAGUCUAACAACCUUAUUUUUCACUUACUGAAAAUAUACAAGUUUUAAUGACCUAAGUAUCUUUGAAAGUGAUUGGUCCAUUUAUGGAGGUCUCUGUUGGAAGGUCAUCGCAAGACUGGACAGAAAUGGCCUGUCACACCUUGGUUUUGAUAUUGUGCAAACAGGGUUGUUGCUUCAUAAUGAGAACUGCUCUAUAAGUCCAAUGAACAGCAACCGGCGAACCAGCAGCACGGUCAUUGAAACCCCAAGAACUAUUGAUGCUCAUGGGGUCGAAAGGCUUGCUGGCAAAGAGCUACAAAUCAUUGAAGACCUUGAUGCUACUUUUUGUCAGAAAGUGUCAGAACACACAUAGUACAGCUUAUACUUGUUGCAAAUGGAUGUGUAUAGCUGUAGACCAGUCAGUUUACACAUGUGGACACCUGUCCACCAACGAAUGUUCGCCCAACUGGACAAGUGAGGAGCACAAAAGGAUAAAUGCCAGAUGCAUGUUCAUCAUAUGCUUACAAAGGAAGAGAUGGCAAUUAUGUGAUGAAGACAAGUGGGCAUAGCCAGUAUGAUAUCUUGGGUUCUGGUGUUUAUUGUGCUCACUUUGUCUAACUAUCUAAAAA